rnacentral:rRNA from 1 species
GAGUCUGCAACUCGACUCCAUGAAGUCGGAAUCGCUAGUAAUCGCAAAUCAGAAUGUUGCGGUGAAUACGUUCCCGGGCCUUGUACACACCGCCCGUCACACCAUGGGAGUGGGCUGCAAAAGAAGCAGGUAGUUUAACCUUCGGGAGGACGCUUGCCACUUUGUGGUUCAUGACUGGGGUGAAGUCGUAACAAGGUAGCGCUAGGGGAACCUGGCGCUGGAUCACCUCCUUACACGA